UACGUAGGGACCAAGCGUUGUUCGGAUUUACUGGGCGUAAAGGGCGCGUAGGCGGCGUGUCAAGUCAAUUGUGAAAUCUCCGAGCUUAACUCGGAACGGUCAAUUGAUACUGAUGUGCUAGAGUGCAGAAGGGGCAAUCGGAAUUCUUGGUGUAGCGGUGAAAUGCGCAGAUAUCAGGAGGAACACCGGUGGCGAAGGCGGUUCUCUGGGCAUGUCCUGACGCUGAGGAGCGAAAGUGUGGGGAGCGAACAGG
rnacentral:rRNA from 1 species